GACGAACGCUGGCGGCGCGCCUAACACAUGCAAGUCGAACGAGCGAGAGAGAGCUUGCUUUCUCGAGCGAGUGGCGAACGGGUGAGUAACGCGUGAGGAACCUGCCUCAAAGAGGGGGACAACAGUUGGAAACGACUGCUAAUACCGCAUAAGCCCACAGCUCGGCAUCGAGCAGAGGGAAAAGGAGUGAUCCGCUUUGAGAUGGCCUCGCGUCCGAUUAGCUGGUUGGUGAGGUAACGGCCCACCAAGGCGACGAUCGGUAGCCGGACUGAGAGGUUGAACGGCCACAUUGGGACUGAGACACGGCCCAGACUCCUACGGGAGGCAGCAGUGGGGAAUAUUGCACAAUGGGGGAAACCCUGAUGCAGCGACGCCGCGUGGAGGAAGAAGGUCUUCGGAUUGUAAACUCCUGUUGUUGAGGAAGAUAAUGACGGUACUCAACAAGGAAGUGACGGCUAACUACGUGCCAGCAGCCGCGGUAAAACGUAGGUCACAAGCGUUGUCCGGAAUUACUGGGUGUAAAGGGAGCGCAGGCGGGAAAGCAAGUUGGAAGUGAAAUCCAUGGGCUCAACCCAUGAACUGCUUUCAAAACUGUUUUUCUUGAGUAGUGCAGAGGUAGGCGGAAUUCCCGGUGUAGCGGUGGAAUGCGUAGAUAUCGGGAGGAACACCAGUGGCGAAGGCGGCCUACUGGGCACCAACUGACGCUGAGGCUCGAAAGUGUGGGUAGCAAACAGG
rnacentral:rRNA from 1 species